rnacentral:rRNA from 1 species
UUCCGGUUGAUCCUGCCAGAGGGUACUGCUAUCAGAAUUCGAAUAAGCCAUGCAAGUUUACUUUUAGACUUCUAAGAGUAGCGAAGGGCUGAGUAACACGUGGUCAAUCCACCCUAUAGACGCGAAUAACCUCGAGAAAUUGAGGAUAAUACGCGAUAGAUGAUUUAUGCUGGAAUGCUUAAUCAUCCAAAUGGCUAGUGAAUUGGAACUAGUCCGCUAUAGGACGAGACUGCGGAGGAUUAGGUUGUUGGUGUGGUAAUGGCACACCAAGCCGAUAAUCUUUAGGGGCCAUGAGAGUGGUGGCCCCCAGAAGGACACUGAGACAAGGGCCCUAGUCCUACGGGAUGCAGCAGGGACGAAAACUUUACAAUGCGCGAAAGCGUGAUAAGGGGAUUCUGAGUGGUAUUAGUAUUGCUAAUAUCUUUUACCAAGUGUAAACAGCUUGGAGAAUAAGGGUGUGGGAAAGACUGGUGGCAGCCGCCGCGGUAAAACCAGCGCCUCGAGUGGUACCCACGAAUACUGGGCCUAAAGCGUUCGUAGCCUGUUUAAUAAGUCCACUGUGAAAUCUUGAAGCUCAACUUCAAGGCGUGCAGUAGAUACUGUUAAACUAGAGAGCGGGGGAGAUUAGGAGUACACCUGGGGUAGCGGUAAAAUGCUUUGAUCCUAGGUGGACUAUCAGUGGCGAAGGCGCCUAAUCAAAACGCUUCUGACGGUGAGGAACGAAGGCUAGGGGAGCGAACGGGAUUAGAGACCCCGGUAGUCCUAGCAGUAAAUUAUGCAGACUUUGGUGUUGCUAUAGAGUAAUCUAUAGCAGUGCUGUAGCGUAGGUGUUAAGUCUGCCGCCUGGGGAGUACGGUCGCAAGACUGAAACUUAAAGGAAUUGGCGGGGAAGUACACAAGCCGUGGAUGCUACGGUUUAAUUUGGAUUCAACGCCGGGAA